AUUGAACGCUGGCGGCAGGCCUAACACAUGCAAGUCGAGCGAGCGGCGGACGGGUGAGUAAUGUCUGGGAAACUGCCUGAUGGAGGGGGAUAACUACUGGAAACGGUAGCUAAUACCGCAUACCAUCAGAUGUGCCCAGAGUGGAUUAGCUAGUAGGUGGGGUAACGGCUCACCUAGGCGACGAUCCCUAGCUGGUCUGAGAGGAUGACCAGGCACACGGAGACUGAGACACGGUCCAGACUCCUACGGGCGGCGGGAGUGGUGAAUAUUGCACAAGGGGCGCAAGGCUUGUGCAGCCAUGCCGCGUGUAUGAAGAAGGCCUUCGGGUUGUAAAGUACUUUCAGCGUGGAGGCGUUACCCGCAGAAGAAGCACCGGCUAACUCCGUGCCAGCAGCCGCGGUAAUAC
rnacentral:rRNA from 1 species